rnacentral:rRNA from 1 species
GAUGAACGCUGGCGGCGUGCCUAAUACAUGCAAGUCGAGCGAACGGACGAGAAGCUUGCUUUUCUGAUGUUAGCGGCGGACGGGUGAGUAACACGUGGAUAACCUACCUAUAAGACUGGGAUAACUUCGGGAAACCGGAGCUAAUACCGGAUAAUAUUUUGAACCGCAUGGUUCAAAAGUGAAAGACGGUCUUGCUGUCACUUAUAGAUGGAUCCGCGCUGCAUUAGCUAGUUGGUAAGGUAACGGCUUACCAAGGCAACGAUGCAUAGCCGACCUGAGAGGGGGAGCGGCCACACCGGAAACGGGACACGGUCCCAACACCCUCGGGGGGGGCACGUAGGGGAAUUUCCCCAAUGGGGGAAAAACGUAGGGGGAAAAGCGCCGGGGGGGUGAAAGGGUUUCGGAUCUUAAAACUCUUUUUUAUGGGAAAAAAAUAUGUGUAAGAAAAAGUGCGCAUCUUGAGGGGACCCAUAAAAAAAACCCCGCGGAACAACGC